UGGGGAAUAUUGCACAAUGGGCGCAAGCCUGAUGCAGCCAUGCCGCGUGUGUGAAGAAGGCCUUCGGGUUGUAAAGCACUUUCAGCGGGGAGGAAGGCGAUAAGGUUAAUAACCUUGUCGAUUGACGUUACCCGCAGAAGAAGCACCGGCUAACUCCGUGCCAGCAGCCGCGGUAAUACGGAGGGUGCAAGCGUUAAUCGGAAUUACUGGGCGUAAAGCGCACGCAGGCGGUCUGUCAAGUCGGAUGUGAAAUCCCCGGGCUCAACCUGGGAACUGCAUUCGAAACUGGCUGGCUAGAGUCUUGUAGAGGGGGGUAGAAUUCCAGGUGUAGCGGUGAAAUGCGUAGAGAUCUGGAGGAAUACCGGUGGCGAAGGCGGCCCCCUGGACAAAGACUGACGCUCAGGUGCGAAAGCGUGGGGAGCAAACAGG
rnacentral:rRNA from 1 species